rnacentral:rRNA from 1 species
CAGCGCCACGAGUGGGGAUCCUGUUUAUUUGGCCUAAAGCGUCCGUAGCUGGUUUAGUAAAUCUCUUGUGAAAUCGUUUGGCUCAACCAAACGGCAAGCAGGAGACACUAUCAAACUUGAGACCGGGAAGGGUUAGAGGUAUGCUUGGGGGAGCGGUAAAAUGCUAUAAUCCCUUGCAGACCAAUGGUGGCGAAGGCGUCUAACUAGAACGGAUCUGACGGUGAGGGACGAAAGCCAGGGGAGCAAUCCGGAUUAGAGACCCGAGUAGUCC